GACGAACGCUGGCGGCGUGCCUAAUACAUGCAAGUUGAGCGCUGAAGGUUGGUAUUUGUACCCACUGCUUGAGCAGCGAACGGGUGAGUAACGCGUGGGGAAUCCUCCUUUGUGCGGGGGACAACCUUUGGAAACGAAUGCUAAUACCGCAUAAAAACUUUAAACACAAGUUUUAAGUUUGAAAGAUGCAAUUGCAUCACUCAAAGAUGAUUCCGCGUUGGAUUAGCUAGUUGGUGAGGUAAAGGCUCACCAAGGCGAUGAUACAUAGCCGACCUGGGAGGGUGGACGACCACAAUGGGACUGAGACACGGCCCAAACUCCUACGGGAGGCCGCAGUAGGGGAUCAUUGGCAAUGGGCGAAAGUCUGAGCGAAGAACGCCGCGUGAGGGAAGAAGGGUGUCGGGUCGUAAAACUCUUUUGAUAGAGAAGGAAGUUAGUGAGAGUGGAAAGCUCAUCAAGUGACGGUAACUACCCAAGAAGGGACGGCUAACUACGUG
rnacentral:rRNA from 1 species